UCAUGGCUCAGGACGAACGCUGGCGGCGUGCCUAAUACAUGCAAGUCGAACGCUUCUUUUUCCACCGGAGCUUGCUCCAUCGGAAAAAGAGGAGUGGCGAACGGGUGAGUAACACGUGGGUAACCUGCCCAUCAGAAGGGGAUAACACUUGGAAACAGGUGCUAAUACCGUAUAACAAUCGAAACCGCAUGGUUUCGAUUUGAAAGGCGCUUUCGGGUGUCGCUGAUGGAUGGACCCGCGGUGCAUUAGCUAGUUGGUGAGGUAACGGCUCACCAAGGCGACGAUGCAUAGCCGACCUGAGAGGGUGAUCGGCCACAUUGGGACUGAGACACGGCCCAAACUCCUACGGGAGGCAGCAGUAGGGAAUCUUCGGCAAUGGACGAAAGUCUGACCGAGCAACGCCGCGUGAGUGAAGAAGGUUUUCGGAUCGUAAAACUCUGUUGUUAGAGAAGAACAAGGAUGAGAGUAACUGUUCAUCCCUUGACGGUAUCUAACCAGAAAGCCACGGCUAACUACGUGCCAGCAGCCGCGGUAAUACGUAGGUGGCAAGCGUUGUCCGGAUUUAUUGGGCGUAAAGCGAGCGCAGGCGGUUUCUUAAGUCUGAUGUGAAAGCCCCCGGCUCAACCGGGGAGGGUCAUUGGAAACUGGGAGACUUGAGUGCAGAAGAGGAGAGUGGAAUUCCAUGUGUAGCGGUGAAAUGCGUAGAUAUAUGGAGGAACACCAGUGGCGAAGGCGGCUCUCUGGUCUGUAACUGACGCUUGAGCUUCGAAAAGCCGUUGGGGAAGCCAAACAGGAUUAAGAUA
rnacentral:rRNA from 1 species